AGAGUUUGAUCAUGGCUCAGAAGGAACGCUGGCAGCGUGCAUAACACAUGCAAGUCGAACGGUAGUAUAUCUUCGGAUAUAUGAGAGUGGCGAACGGGUGAGUAACACGUAAGAAUCUACCUUUGGACGGGGAUAACUUCUGAAACGGAUGCUAAUACCCGAUACGCUGUGGAGUGAAAGAAUUUCGCCCAAAGAUGAUCUUGCGUCUGAUUAGCUAGUUGGUAAGGUAAUGGCUUACCAAGGCGACGAUCAGUAGCUGGUCUGAGAGGAUGGACAGCCACAUUGGAACUGAGACACGGUCCAAACUCCUACGGGAGGCAGCAGUGGGGAAUUUUCCGCAAUGGACGAAAGUCUGACGGAGCGACGCUGCGUGAAGGAUGACGGCCUGCGGGUUGUAAACUUCUUUUCUCGAAGAAGAAUAAAUGACGGUAUUCGAGGAAUAAGCAUCGGCUAACUCUGUGCCAGCAGCCGCGGUAAGACAGAGGAUGCAAGUGUUAUUCGGAUUGAUUGGGCGUAAAGCGUCUGUAGGCGGUUUGGAAAGUCUUUUGUGAAAUUCUUCAGCUCAACUGGGGGUCCGCAAAAGAAACUUCUAAGCUUGAGGGAAGUAGAGGUAUAGGGAAUUCCG
rnacentral:rRNA from 1 species